GUGGGGGAUAACGUAGCGAAAGUUGCGCUAAUACCGCAUAUUCUGUGAGCAGGAAAGCAGGGGACCGCAAGGCCUUGCGCUCUUUGAGCGGCCGAUGUCAGAUUAGCUAGUUGGUGAGGUAAAGGCUUACCAAGGCGACGAUCUGUAGCGGGUCUGAGAGGAUGAUCCGCCACACUGGAACUGAGACACGGUCCAGACUCCUACGGGAGGCAGCAGUGGGGAAUUUUGGACAAUGGGGGCAACCCUGAUCCAGCCAUGCCGCGUGAGUGAAGAAGGCCUUCGGGUUGUAAAGCUCUUUCGGCCGGGAAGAAAUCGCAUGGGCCAAUACCCUGUGUGGAUGACGGUACCGGAAUAAGAAGCACCGGCUAACUACGUGCCAGCAGCCGCGGUAAUACGUAGGGUGCGAGCGUUAAUCGGAAUUACUGGGCGUAAAGCGUGCGCAGGCGGUUUUGUAAGACAGGCGUGAAAUCCCCGGGCUUAACCUGGGAACUGCGUUUGUGACUGCAAGGCUAGAGUACGGCAGAGGGGGGUGGAAUUCCACGUGUAGCAGUGAAAUGCGUAGAGAUGUGGAGGAACACCAAUGGCGAAGGCAGCCCCCUGGGUCGAUACUGACGCUCAUGCACGAAAGCGUGGGUAGCAAACAGGAUUAGAUACCCUGGUAGUCCACGCCCUAAACUAUGUCAACUAGGUGUUGGGUGGGUAAAACCAUUUAGUACCGUAGCUAACGCGUGAAGUUGACCGCCUGGGGAGUACGGCCGCAAGGUUAAAACUCAAAGGAAUUGACGGGGACCCGCACAAGCGGUGGAUGAUGUGGAUUAAUUCGAUGCAACGCGAAAAACCUUACCUACCCUUGACAUGCCAGGAACUUGCCAGAGAUGGCUUGGUGCCCGAAAGGGAGCCUGGACACAGGUGCUGCAUGGCUGUCGUCAGCUCGUGUCGUGAGAUGUUGGGUUAGGUCCCGCAACGAGCGCAACCCUUGCCGUUAAUUGCCAUCAUUUAGUUGGGCACUUUAACGAGACUGCCGGUGACAAACCGGAGGAAGGUGGGGAUGACGUCAAGUCCUCAUGGCCCUUAUGGGUAGGGCUUCACACGUCAUACAAUGGUCGGUACAAAGGGUUGCCAAGCCGCGAGGCGGAGCCAAUCCCAGAAAGCCGAUCGUAGUCCGGAUUGCAGGCUGCAACUCGCCUGCAUGAAGUCGGAAUCGCUAGUAAUCGUGGAUCAGCAUGUCACGGUGAAUACGUUCCC
rnacentral:rRNA from 1 species